rnacentral:rRNA from 1 species
UGCAUAUCAAAAAGCGGAGGAAAAGAAACCAACCGGGAUUGCCUUAGUAACGGCGAGUGAAGCGGCAAAAGCUCAAAUUUGAAAUCUGGUACCUUCGGUGCCCGAGUUGUAAUUUGGAGAGGGCAACUUUGGGGCCGUUCCUUGUCUAUGUUCCUUGGAACAGGACGUCAUAGAGGGUGAGAAUCCCGUGUGGCGAGGAGUGCGGUUCUUUGUAAAGUGCCUUCGAAGAGUCGAGUUGUUUGGGAAUGCAGCUCUAAGUGGGUGGUAAAUUCCAUCUAAAGCUAAAUAUUGGCGAGAGACCGAUAGCGAACAAGUACAGUGAUGGAAAGAUGAAAAGAACUUUGAAAAGAGAGUGAAAAAGUACGUGAAAUUGUUGAAAGGGAAGGGCAUUUGAUCAGACAUGGUGUUUUGUGCCCUCUGCUCCUUGUGGGUAGGGGAAUCUCGCAUUUCACUGGGCCAGCAUCAGUUUUGGUGGCAGGAUAAAUCCAUAGGAAUGUAGCUUGCCUCGGUAAGUAUUAUAGCCUGUGGGAAUACUGCCAGCUGGGACUGAGGACUGCGACGUAAGUCAAGGAUGCUGGCAUAAUGGUUAUAUGCCGCCCGUCUUGAAACC